UACGUAGGGUGCGAGCGUUAAUCGGAAUUACUGGGCGUAAAGCGUGCGCAGGCGGUUUUGUAAGGCAGAUGUGAAAUCCCCGGGCUUAACCUGGGAAUGGCAUUUGGGACUGCAAGGCUGGAGUGUGGCAGAGGAGACUGGAAUUCCUGGUGUAGCAGUGAAAUGCGUAGAUAUCAGGAGGAAUACCGAUGGCGAAUGCAGGUCUCUGGGCCAUAACUGACGCUGAGAAGCGAAAGCAUGGGGAGCGAACAGG
rnacentral:rRNA from 1 species